rnacentral:ncRNA from 1 species
GGUUAAGUGACUAAGCGUACACGGUGGAUGCCUUGGCAGUUGGAGGCGAUGAAGGACGUAUUAACUUGCGAUAAGCCUAGUCAAGCUAGUAAAAAGCACUUGAGACUAGGAUUUCCGAAUGGGGAAACCCACCUGCUUGCAGGUAUCGUUAACUGAAUACAUAGGUUAACGAGGCGAACGCGGAGAACUGAAACAUCUAAGUACCCGUA